CGAACAUUUGCCUGAGAAUGAACAUACACAAUUAGAAAUAAACUAACAAAAAAAUAGAAAGAAUAUACACAAUCUAAAUGAUGCCGUUAUAAAUAAAGACAAUAGUAGUAUACCGCUGUUCGAAGGUCAUACAUCGAUUGAGAGAAAACAAAUCCGGGUUACAAAGUAAAACUGAGGAAAAACGCAUCAACUGUAAGAGGGAAAAACGAAACAACAGAAACACUGAAGCGCAACAAAAAAAAAACAAAGCGACAGAUACACAAACACGAUCUUUAUGAUAACAACUGACAUUUUCCUGACUGGGUACAGAACAUUUUAAGAAAACAAUGGCGGGUUGAACCGAGUUUUGCGGCUAGCCAAACCUCGCGCUUUUGAAAUUUAUAUAUAACAGUAAAAUGACAACAAAGACUACAGUACAAAUAAUUGAACAUUCAGGACACAGAAAUACACAAAUAAACAUUACAAUAUGACAUUUUCGACAUGCUAAGAGUUAUCAAAGGUACCAGGCUUAUAACUUAAUACACUAUACGUGGGUUUCGUCUACAUAAGACUCACCAGUGAUGAUCAGAUCAAAAUAGUAAAGAAAGCCUAACAAGUACGAAGUUAAAGAGCAUUGAUGACCCAAAAUUCUAAAAAGUUGUGCCAAAUACGGCUAAGGUUAUCUAUGCCUGUGGAUAACCAGUGAUGUUAACCUAAAUUAAAGCGAUUAAAAGUAAGCUUAAUACACAACACGAAUACGACACGUUGAACUUAAAAUAAGAGAUUAUUGAAACUCCGUCAUUUCCCGAUUAGUGAUGACAAAAGAAA
rnacentral:lncRNA from 1 species